rnacentral:rRNA from 1 species
UACGUAGGGUGCGAGCGUUGUCCGGAAUUAUUGGGCGUAAAGAGCUCGUAGGCGGUGUGUCACGUCGGCCGUGAAAACCUGGGGCUUAACUCUGGGCGUGCGGUCGAUACGGGCAUCACUAGAGUUCGGCAGGGGAGACUGGAAUUCCUGGUGAUAGCGGUGAAAUGCGCAGAUAUCAGGAGGAAUACCGAGUGGCGAAGGCAGGUCUCUGGGCUGAUACUGACGCUCAUGCACGAAAGCGUGGGGAGCAAACAGG